rnacentral:rRNA from 1 species
AGAGUUUGAUCCUGGCUCAGAUUGAACGCUGGCGGCGUGCCUAACACAUGCAAGUCGAGCGGUAACAGGUGUAGCAAUACAUGCUGACGAGCGGCGAACGGGUGAGUAAUGCUUCGGAAUCUACCCAGUAGUGGGGAAUAACCAACCGAAAGGUUGGCUAAUACCGCAUACGUCCUACGGGAGAAAGCGGGGGAUCGCAAGACCUCGCGCUAUCGGAUGAGCCGAAGCCGGAUUAGCUAGUUGGUAGGGUAACGGCCUACCAAGGCGACGAUCCGUAGCUGGUCUGAGAGGACGACCAGCCACACUGGGACUGAGACACGGCCCAGACUCCUACGGGAGGCAGCAGUGGGGAAUAUUGGACAAUGGGGGAAACCCUGAUCCAGCGACGCCGCGUGUGUGAAGAAGGCCUGCGGGUUGUAAAGCACUUUUAGUGGGGAUGAAAAGUGCAGAGCUAACACCUCUGCAUCUUGACCUAACCCACAGAAAAAGCACCGGCUAACUCUGUGCCAGCAGCCGCGGUAAUACAGAGGGUGCGAGCGUUAAUCGGAAUUACUGGGCGUAAAGCGUGCGUAGACGGUAAUGUAAGUCGGGUGUGAAAGCCCCAGGCUCAACCUGGGAAUUGCAUUCGAGACUGCAUUGCUUGGGUGCGGAAGAGGGAAGCGGAAUUUCCGGUGUAGCGGUGAAAUGCGUAGAUAUCGGAAGGAACACCAGUGGCGAAAGCGGCUUCCUGGUCCGACACCGACGUUCAGGCACGAAAGCGUGGGGAGCAAACAGGAUUAGAUACCCUAGUAGUCC